rnacentral:lncRNA from 1 species
CUCUCCUCCCGGGUCUGCGCGGACGCGGCCUCCUUACCUCAUUUGUCCUCGCCCCUCCCCGUCCCUCUACGCGUUUUGGUCCCUGUUUGGUGCUUUCUGUUUGCAGCUACGGCAGUGAGUAUGUAUGUGACGGACCCCGAGUCACCCGCGGCCUGGGACCCCUGCCUACCCUCCGUCUCGCCAGCCGAGCUGUGGAACUAGCGCGUGCCCCCUCGCCGACCUCGGCGUCUCCGGUCCGCCCCUCACUUGUGGUGGGGCGCAGCUCCUGGUCCCUCAGCUGCGCGCCGCCCCACGCGGCCGGGCUGCGGGUCUAGGGGGUCCGCAUCUCCCUGGCUUUCCAAGGGCUAAGGUCGUGAUUCUAGGGCGGCUGGGCGUCCAGGGCCUCGGUGGGGGUGGCGUGUCUGCCCUUUUUAUCUCCCCGCAAGGCCCCCAGUCUUCUAGGGAAGCCAGUCAGUGAAGCGCGGAGGUCCGGGCGCGCCGAGAGAGAGUCCAGUCUUUGAGGACCGAGUAGUCCUGGGCCACCUCCCGCCUCUGCUGUCAGAAGCAGCAGCUGCCGCCGUGGAAUCCAAAAUUUCGGGAGCUGUGACCCUUUCCUCAUGUAAAACGAGUAGUCUUGGACGAUCUGGGCAUAGGAACCAAUCAGAAACAAUCGCUUCAGCAAUCAAGACCAUUGUUCAUCAUGGAGGAACCCAUGGAUACCUCUGAGCCUCUAUCUGCAUUACCAUUCACUGGGCAGCAGUCUUUUGAGCCAAGUGGCAAAUUUGGACAGUAUCCAUCGAUGCAGAUGAACCACAUCCAGGCACUGGGGAAGUGGAGGACAUAGAACAGCUCAAUCAGUGUUUGAUCCAACACUUCCAUCUCAUUAAGACAAGUUUGAUUUUUCUUUGCUUUUUAUUUCAUGGAAUACAUGAGAAUCUCUUAACUGUUGGAGUUUCCAAGGAGGCAUACCUCAUGACUUCAGUUAAUGGAAAGAACAAAACUAAAAUGCUGUAUGGCCAAAGCCACAAAGGGAAGGAUCCACAAUUUACAUUCUUGGAGCUAUCAUCUGUACUGUACUGUUGUGAUCUACUGAUUGGCAUUGGCAUAGUAGUAGGGGUCAAGUGACAGAAUCCGUGCCAGCAGUCUCCAGGUUCAGAAGCAAUUCAAGACCCUGAUGAUAGCUCUCCAGCAACCAACACAUGGUGAUUGUGCCAACUUGUUGCUCAGUUAUAAUGCAGGGCCAGUGAUUGGUUUAAGUGAAGACCAUGGUUGAGAUCAUUUGUCUUUGGUCUAAUAGAAUUUGAGUCUAGUAGAAUUUGAGUCUCCAGGGAAAGAGCUACUUGACCAAAUUAAACUAGUAGCAGGUAGAGCAUGAAUGACAGCAUAUUAUACCAUCAAGAUGUUCUUAGAGCAGUGUAUGGAUGGAUCGAUUGUACUGCCAUCAGUUGUGACUGACGUUGUAUUCAAGGAGAAAGAGAAACUUGUUUAGAAAGCACUUUGAAAGUUUUUUGAGUACGGGGGUGCCCUGUAUCACCCCGUUAUGGUUGAACUUUCUCCUUCAAAAUUACCAGACUUGGCAGCAGUGGCAAAUUAUUGGGCUAAAAGACUUAAUCAGACAUAUUCUGGGUUCAAGGCUCCUAAUAUAAUACCUGGUGCAAACAUUAUACUUCCACUCAUUCAGAUGGUUGCAUCCUGCCAGGCAUCCAGUGGGACUGGGAAUAUGGACACUUGAACAUUAAACAUCCUGAAGAAUUUUGGAAUGACAGGUUACAAGUGAACAUAAUCAGUUCUCUAUAUUAAAAAAAAAAAAAGAUUUGGGCAUAGAUUGGGCUCACAUAAUCUUUAGAGAGAUUUUUUCAUUUUUGUGAAAGUACAGAAAUUCUUAACUGCUUAUGAAAUGCUGAUUGUUAAACAGCAUCCACAGCUAUUUUGUGUUGUUUCCCUGACCCCACCCUGAAGAAAAGAAAAAUUAUGGCAUAUUGAAAACAGCAGUAUGAUGUAAGAGAAAAGAUCACAAAUUCCUUGAGGGUGGGUCUUUUCCAUACUCAUAAGCCUAUUUAUAAUAUUCAGAGUAAUUUAUUGACACAUAUUAAUAUUCCCUCCUAUCCCAUUAAUUGCCAAAUCAUCAAACAUUUAUUGAGCAUCUCCUCUAUGUAGGGUAUAAGUAAUGCUGAGGUAGUACUCGUGACUUACAGUGGUAAAAGACUUAAGUUUUAGGCCGAGAGCAGUGGCUCACGCCUGUAAUCCCA